rnacentral:rRNA from 1 species
UACGGGGGGAGCAAGCGUUGUUCGGAUUUACUGGGCGUAAAGGGCGCGUAGGCGGUCAGCACAAGUCAGUUGUGAAAUCUCCGGGCUUAACUCGGAAAGGUCAACUGAUACUGUGCGACUAGAGUGCAGAAGGGGCAACUGGAAUUCUCGGUGUAGCGGUGAAAUGCGUAGAUAUCGAGAGGGAACACCUGCGGCGAAGGCGGGUUGCUGGGCUGACACUGACGCUGAUGCGCGAAAGCCAGGGGAGCGAACGGG